GCCCAGCUUGCUGGGUGGAUCAGUGGCGAACGGGUGAGUAACACGUGAGCAACCUGCCCUCCACUUCGGGAUAAGCCUUGGAAACGAGGUCUAAUACCGGAUAUGAGCACAUGGCGCAUGUCGUGUGUUGGAAAGUUUUUCGGUGGGGGAUGGGCUCGCGGCCUAUCAGCUUGUUGGUGGGGUGAUGGCCUACCAAGGCGUCGACGGGUAGCCGGCCUGAGAGGGCGACCGGCCACACUGGGACUGAGACACGGCCCAGACUCCUACGGGAGGCAGCAGUGGGGAAUAUUGCACAAUGGGCGAAAGCCUGAUGCAGCGACGCCGCGUGAGGGAUGACGGCCUUCGGGUUGUAAACCUCUUUCAGCAGGGAAGAAGGCCUUCGGGUGGACGGUACCUGCAGAAGAAGCGCCGGCUAACUACGUGCCAACAGCCGCGGUAAUACGUAGGGCGCAAGCGUUGUCCGGAAUUAUUGGGCGUAAAGAGCUCGUAGGCGGUCUGUCGCGUCUGGUGUGAAAACCCGAGGCUCAACCUCGGGCUUGCAUCGGGUACGGGCAGACUAGAGUGCGGUAGGGGAGACUGGAAUUCCUGGUGUAGCGGUGGAAUGCGCAGAUAUCAGGAGGAACACCGAUGGCGAAGGCAGGUCUCUGGGCCGCAACUGACGCUGAGGAGCGAAAGCAUGGGGAGCGAACAGGAUUAGAUACCCUGGUAGUCCAUGCCGUAAACGUUGGGCACUAGGUGUGGGGCUCAUUCCACGAGUUCCGUGCCGCAGCUAACGCAUUAAGUGCCCCGCCUGGGGAGUACGGCCGCAAGGCUAAAACUCAAAGGAAUUGACGGGGGCCCGCACAAGCGGCGGAGCAUGCGGAUUAAUUCGAUGCAACGCGAAGAACCUUACCAAGGCUUGACAUGCACGGGACGCUGCCAG
rnacentral:rRNA from 1 species